rnacentral:rRNA from 1 species
AGUGAACGCUGGCGGUAGGCCUAACACAUGCAAGUCGAACGGCAGCACAGUAAGAGCUUGCUCUUACGGGUGGCGAGUGGCGGACGGGUGAGGAAUACAUCGGAAUCUACUUUUUCGUGGGGGAUAACGUAGGGAAACUUACGCUAAUACCGCAUUCGACCUACGGGUGAAAGCAGGGGAUCUUCAGACCUUGCGCGAUUGAAUGAGCCGAUGUCGGAUUAGCUAGUUGGCGGGGUAAAGGCCCACCAAGGCGACGAUCCGUAGCUGGUCUGAGAGGAUGAUCAGCCACACUGGAACUGAGACACGGUCCAGACUCCUACGGGAGGCAGCAGUGGGGAAUAUUGGACAAUGGGCGCAAGCCUGAUCCAGCCAUACCGCGUGGGUGAAGAAGGCCUUCGGGUUGUAAAGCCCUUUUGUUGGGAAAGAGAAGCAGCAGGUUAAUACCCCGCUGUUCUGACGGUACCCAAAGAAUAAGCACCGGCUAACUUCGUG